AAGUCGUAACAAGGUUUCCGUAGGUGAACCUGCGGAAGGAUCAUUACAAAUCGUCACCCGUGUGUGUGAUAACUUAUUGACCCUGUUGAAUGGUGCAAGGGGGGGCGGUGCUCACCGGAUUGGCUGGUGGCAUUCGCCCCCUUUUCUUUUAUGGACUCUUAUGGACAGAGGGGCGCCCGUCAUUUAUUGAUGGCGCGCGCCCCGUCAUGAUGAUCAUCAUAUAACGACGUACAACUUUUAACAAUGGAUCUCUUGGCUCUU
rnacentral:misc_RNA from 1 species